UACGUAGGGUGCAAGCGUUAAUCGGAAUUACUGGGCGUAAAGCGUGCGCAGGCGGUUCGUUGUGUCGGUGGUGAAAGCCCCGGGCUUAACCUGGGAAUGGCCAUGGAAACUGGCGAACUGGAGUGUGGCAGAGGGGGGUGGAAUUCCGGCGUGUAGCAGUGAAAUGCGUAGAGAUCCGGAGGAACACCAAGGCGAAGGCAGUGUCCUGGGGAGUACCUGACGCUCAGGUGCGAAAGCCAGGGGAGCGAACGGG
rnacentral:rRNA from 1 species